rnacentral:rRNA from 1 species
CCUACGGGAGGCAGCAGUGGGGAAUAUUGCACAAUGGGGGAAACCCUGAUGCAGCGACGCCGCGUGAGUGAAGAAGCGUUUCGGCGCGUAAAGCUCUGUCAGCGGGGAAGAAACACGGUUCGCGAGAGCCGCGGACGGUACCCGACCAAGAAGCCCCGGCUAACUACGUGCCAGCAGCCGCGGUAAUACGUAGGGGGCAAGCGUUAUCCGGAUUCAUUGGGUGUAAAGGGAGCGUAGACGGCGAGACAAGUCUGGAGUGAAAGGCAGGGGCCCAAACCCGGGACUGAUCUGGAAACGGCAUGGCGGGAGUACAGGUGAGGUAGGUGGAAGGCCUGGUGUAGAGGUGAAAUGCGUAGAGAUCAGGAGGAACACCGGUGGCGAAGGCGGCUUACUGGACUGUAACUGACGUUGAGGCUCGAAAGCGUGGGGAGCAAACAGGAUUAGAUACCCUAGUAGUC